rnacentral:rRNA from 1 species
UAGCAUGAAGUCAGACAAGUG